CAGUCGCCACGGUAAUACGAAGGGUGCAAGCGUUAUCCGGAUUUAUUGGGUUUAAAGGGUCCGUAGGCGGACUUAUAAGUCAGUGGUGAAAGCCUGUCGCUUAACGAUAGAACUGCCAUUGAUACUGUAAGUCUUGAGUAUAUUUGAGGUAGCUGGAAUAAGUAGUGUAGCGGUGAAAUGCAUAGAUAUUACUUAGAACACCAAUUGCGAAGGCAGGUUACCAAGAUAUAACUGACGCUGAGGGACGAAAGCGUGGGUAGCGAACAGGAUUAGAUACCCCUGUAGUCCCUGUCUCUUAUAC
rnacentral:rRNA from 1 species